AACUGGCAACCGGGAAAAGAAUUCAGAUUCUAGAGGGUCCAGGAUGCCAGGUUUCUCAUCUGUGGUUCAAGAGAGGGGCGUUUAAAAAUGAGCUAGCCUAGUUGGACCCUUACCAGGGGCUCUGGGGGUGGGGGGCGCCCUGCCUGGCGUGCUCGGGUCCCCUUAGCAGCUCACCCGUUCUUUUUUUUGACUUUUCUCAUUUCUGCAGUUCUACCACAUGGUCACGUGGAAUCUGUGCUGACCAAAAGCCUAGGGCAGAGGAGAGGGGACUGCGCGGCCUUAAGACUAACCCCGAGGCCGAGGCGUUCCCAUUGCGGCUCAGCGGUGAAGCCCUAAAAAGAAAACAAACAAGAAAAAAAAGUGGGGUCCAGAUUUGAUCUUCAAAGAAAUUCUGCAUUGGAAGGAAGAAAACAAAUAAGAAAAAAAGAGUUGGGUCCAGAUUUGAUCUUUGAAGACAUUCAGCCUUGGAAGGAAGGGAGAUUUCCCCAAACAUGCCAAACAGGAGGCUGGCGGACACUCAGACAAAGCCUGCAAACAAAACUCAUGCCUGCAUGAGCCUUUAGGAAGAGGGAUGGGGCCAGGGAGCCAGUGGCUCCAGAAGUACUAUUUGGGGGAAUUUGUGUAAGCAGGUAAGAAUGACAGACAGGGGUUUUUGGACAGACGAGAGCCAUUUCUGGUCCAAGCCUGGUCCCCAUACUUGUUCUUCAACAGGUCUCAGUGAUUAGCGACCUUAAGGAGCCAAAGAACAAACUUCUCAGGCGAGAGAAUAAGAGCAAAAGUAAGAAAUCAGUGGGAAGGGCUCCUCGGUGUUUCCUUGGUCAAGAUCAGCCCAAAGCCCUUUCUUGGGCUGUUGUGCAGCAUUUAACGACCCCCCUGCCCCGCCCCAGGUGCUCAACCACCAAAUCAGCUGGAAUCUAAAGGUGACAGUGGUGACCCUUUCUGACCCUUGUGAUUCAGCCCACUAAAGCUUGGACUCCAUGGACCUUGGCCCCAAUUCUACGCUGAAUUCUCCUCGGCUCAGGCCCCUUCAUGAAUAUGCAUGUACCAUGCAACCACGAAAAAGAGUUUUCUGCAGUACGAGUCCUGUGGCUCUGAGUUCACUAUAGAAGAGUCUAGUGGCUUCACAGUAUCAGUGACCGGUGUGGACGGGGCUGCACAGGGAGGUGACAGAGCACGGCUCAUGCUGAAUGCCUCAGGGGUGACUUGGCGGGCCCGGGACGCAGGGUACAGCUGGCCGAAAACUCUGGUUUGGUGUUGGAUAAACCAUGGGUGUGGGGGCUGAGAGAUGACGUUCAGAGCCAUGGCCUGGAGCUGUUUGGCAGACACUGAAAUCCCCACCAGGUGGAAGACAUUAACUGCAUGCUGCCCACCUGCAUGGAGAUCCCGGACCCACUGGAACCAGAAGGUGGGUGACGCUGACUCCUCCCCACCCGCCCAUCAGAAGACAGUCCCUGAGCUGAUCACAUCCCCCACACCCUCUCUUCUGCACGGAACCCUUUUCCUCUUUUUCUUGUAUCAUCUCCUAGCAAAACUUGGGGAGUGGAAGGUUGGGACAUGAGUCUACCUUCUCCCCAGGACUGCCGGCUUCCUCGAUAAAGCCGUCUUUCCUUUCAUCCCA